UGCUCUGAGCUCCAGGCUGCCCGCUC
rnacentral:piRNA from 1 species